rnacentral:sRNA from 1 species
UCAGGGUCCAUUAUUUCUACUAUACUACC